rnacentral:rRNA from 1 species
AUUUCGGAUAUGCUAGUGGCGGACGGGUGAGUAACGCGUGAACAAUCUGCCCUGUACACAGGAACUAGCCUCGGGAAACUGGGAUUAAAACCGGAUAACACUUCUUGGUCGCAUGACUUGGAAGUCAAAUUGAUUUAGAGGUACAGGAUGAGUUCGCGUCUGAUUAGCUAGUUGGUGAGGUAAUGGCUCACCAAGGCGACGAUCAGUAGCCGGCCUGAGAGGGUGAACGGCCACACUGGAACUGAGACACGGUCCAGACUCCUACGGGAGGCAGCAGUAGGGAAUAUUGCACAAUGGAGGAAACUCUGAUGCCAGCGACGCCGCGUGAGUGAAGAAGGUCUUCGGAUCGUAAAACUCUGUCCUUGGUGAAGAAUAAAAUGACGGUAGCCAAGGAGGAAGCCCCGGCUAACUACGUGCCAGCAGCCGC